AUAGCCGCAGCCAGGCGAAGUUGUUUUCCUUCUGGUCUGCAAGGAACAAAAACAAGUCACUUUCCCAUAAGAGUAGCAAUUGGCUGAGCUUGGGUGUGUGGUCAGAGCAGUAGCGGGUGGCCGCGCCCUGCUCCGUCUGCCUCACCCAGCCCACUUGCAACCAGGAGACUGUGAGGACCCUCCCCACCAGCCAGCAGCUUAGUCCCGCGGGCGCCUGCAACAACAGCCCCCCCCCUCACCCCAGCCUUGGGCCUCGUAGCUGUGCAGCUACCUAGUUCCACACUACAGAGGCACAGGAGGACAUAAAGACCAUUGUCCUGAGCUGCAGAAGUGAACAACAAAGAGAGGGCCUCUCUCAGCUCCCUGAUGAAAACUGAAGCCCACUGGAAAAGUGAAGAGAAUCUCUGCAAUAAAGGCACACCAGACCACCGUGCUUGAGUAACAGUUCACCAAGCCUGAUUCCAGCCAGCCUCCAGUCAGAAGUCUCCGUUGUGUGGACUUGGAGGUACGUUUUGGUAUCUCAGGGAGCACAGCACCAGCCCACCGGGCCGGCCAAGGGUGCUGCAGUGCCGCACAGUGGUCUGCCUGUGGCUGCAGCUGUUUGCAGGAGACCAGCGUUAGAACCCACGCUGCACACUUGAGGUGGUGGUGAACACCACAGAGGUGCGAAGCCAGGUCCGGCCUAGUGCUGCCCUGGAAACCCAGGCAGCAUCGUUUUCACGGCAGGAGAACAGGUGCACUGAUGAAUUGAGUAUCUACCACUGUCCUGCAGCUCCCGACUGCUGAGUGUGUCACGGUGGCGAGGCUGCCUGCCAGGUGGAAGCACCGAAACACGGCUCCCAGAUGCAAACUGCAGGACUCCGAAGCUCCGGAGAGCCUGGUGCAGUUCCCACACUAAAUGGCCGUAACCAGAGGGUCAGCUCUCAGGGACCUGGCAGUGAGCUUGGGAAAGAGAGGCAUUCGCAAAACCACAACACAUUGACUUUUAAAUGGAAAACUCCAAAUUUAUUCCAAUUUCCAUGCGGGAUCAUCCUGAAAGACAGCGUAGCUGCAAUUUGGGAAAUAUGAUGCCUCAGAGGACCCUGUCCAGCAUAUUGCAGAAUGAAUCCUGAGUGGUUUUGAAUUCGGUCAUCAAGUCCUAAAAAUUCACGGAAUUAAUGGCUCAGCCAAAUCACAGUUCGCAAGCUCAGCGCUCUCUUCCUGCUGAAGCGAGCAGUGUGUGGACACCUCACAAAGGUCCAGGAGAGGCAGCCAGCGCUAACCUCCCGCAAGCAGGUUCUCCAUGGCUGCCUCCUCCUUCCCUCCAUCGCAGAUGGCCCUGACCGUGGUCAGCACGGCUGAACUGGCCUUGGAGAGGGAGUGGGGGCCUCACUGCCAGACCCUGGAGCCAGGGCUCCACGGGAACAACGCAGUGCUGCGUGGCCGGGAAGAUGGCCGAGGUCAGUGGCGACCAAUGACCUCACUGGACCCCGGCUGGCACCUGGCCUCACCUAGCUGCACACAGCCUCCCGGCCACUCUCAAGUGUCUGCCCGCCUCUCUGGACGCAUGCACAAGCUUCCUCCACCCUGAGAGCUGGGAAGGCUCCUGCCUUGGGCUCGUGUCACAGCUCAGAUGUCAGCAGCCCUGGGACUUCAGGGACCCUGAGUCCUCCUGAACCUCCAUUCUCUCCUCUCCACAACAGAGGCCAAGUGCUGCUGCCUUGCUUAGUUUUCGCCAGG
ensembl:lncRNA